UUUUUUUUUUUUUUUUUUGAGAGAGAGAGAGAAAGAGCUGGGGGAUGAUCAGUUGACUGCCAGAGCCUUCUGUUUCAGUUCAGAGUUGAUGAGGAGCCCAAACUGGCAGAUUUAGCACUCCGAUCCCUUGUAUUUAAUUAUUCUUUUAUUUCUGUAGGUAAUUAUGGCCUUUUCCCCCUGAGGAAAAGAAAAAAAAGAAUUAUGGCCUUUUCCCCCUGAGGGAGAGAGAAUCCCAAGCAGACUCCUUGUCCAGUGCAGAGCCUGACUUGGGGCUGGAUCCAAUGACUCCGAGAUCACCACCUGAGCCGAAACCAAGAGUAGGCCACCCAACCAACUGUGCUGCCCAGGCACCCCUGUUUGCAAGAUAUUUCUAACUGUAAGUCCUUAAAGGCAGGAACUCUGCAGAUACCCUACUUGCCAAAAUCUGAACUAAUGACCACCUCAUGUCACUGCUCCAUUUCAAUUUGCUGAAUUGGUAUACACUGAAUUGUAUUUCAUUAAGUUGAUUUGUCUAGAAUCUGGCAGAAAGGAGACCCCCUGUGCUGGUGAUGGAAGGCAUCCCAGGAUAACUAGUACCCAGUGCCUUAAAAGCACACUUGCUUCUUCAGGCUGUUUCAUCUGGAGCCAUAGGAUUUCAUCAAAUGGAUUAGGUCUGGCAUGCUGAGGGGCAAUCUGAUACUUAGGAGUACAGAACAUGAGACUUCACACAAAGAUGCACUCACUCCUCAACUUACUGCCACAGAAUUGGAUCCCGCACACACAGACAUUUUCAUUAAUUCCAUUUUGUCCAAUUCCCAUAAAUAAAAGGGAAAGGUGCAUUUAUAGUUGUAUGCAUUGCAUCAUAUAGUUUAUUCCUGACAGGAAAUACUUCCAUUUUGAUGAGGCAAUAAUGAAAACGGAAUAUGACAGGUACAAUCACACCGUUGAUGACACCUUUGGAGUAAUUGUACACAGAGUAGUUUCUGGUAGCUUCUGGCUUGGUUUCAAAGCUCCUUUACCACUCACACACUGCCAGUGCCAAGCACAGGAAUGCAUGUUCCUAUAAUGAUACACCCUCUAGCUCUGCCUCUCUGUGUCUCUGCAGCUGAGCUGGCACAGGGCCAGCUGAAGGAUUCCUGAAGGCAUUGUGACCUGCUUUUCAAAGCUGGCACCUAGGUGCAGUGGGAGCUCAUGUUUCCUGAUUCCUGCCCAAACAAGGCCAGCCAUGGGACCCAGAAUAUCCAUUCUGCAAGCAAAGUAUGCAGGACACUGAGGUAUGCAGCCCCACCCUAUUCGUCAUCCUAGAAGUUACCAGAGAUUUGCACUUGGGGUUGCUGAUCACUGCUCAGCUGUCAUUUCUAAAGCUGGCACUGGAACCCCAGAACCCAGAUGAGGGGGAAAUAGAUUCUUUAUCCCAUGACCUCCACCUUCACCAGGUAUUGAUCAUUUUACAGCUAUGGACACUAAGUUCAGCGGGAUCUAGCUCACAGUGGCACAGCCAGUGAAUGUCAGAGGAGGGAACUAGGUAUAGGCAUUUGCCACUGUGGUCCCCCCAACUCCCUUGUCUGCACCUUGACAAUUUUUCACGUUACCAGCCCUGCCAUUCCCAAACUUCUCACAUUACUACAUUCCUUUCCAGCUAAUGGCACACAUGGGACUCAGAUCCCACCACCUGGAUGCACACAAGCCUAGAUUCAGAAGUGCAUGCACUAAGAAGUCCUCAAGCCAAUGUGUGGGCACUGCAAUGGUGAACAUUCUGGGGUCUCGUCCUGAGUGAGGGUAGCGUGGUUGUGGUGCUUUCACUGUGGCAGCUCCUUGGUGCUGAUCUGGACUGUGCAGCUUCAGAGCUUGCUGAGACUUUCCAGAUUCUGGAACCCACCUAAUACCUUUAAAUAAAUUCUUUUCUUGCUUAAAAUAGCAAGAGUUUACUUCGUUAUUUGCAACAAGAAACCCAAGAUUUAUGAUUCCCAAAGUCAGAGCUUUUUUUCUUGAUGCAUAAUCAGGUAUUAACUUUAAAGUCACAGCUUAUUAACCCUCUCCCUUUUUCCAUACAUAACCGAAAGUAAAGAACAGAGGGCACCUGGAAAGAGAAGCUUGGAUCCUGGGACUGUCAGAAUGGAUAGCGGCAGGUGGGUGACAGAAAAGUCCAGGGGACUGCAUCCCACAAAGGGGAAGCAGGAGAGGUGGAAAGCCAAACAGAAUCGGGAGGGGCAACAGACAAGAACACACAUUUA
rnacentral:lncRNA from 1 species